CUGACAACGACAAGGCUAAAUGACAUGACUGCAAGGUUGGACAAGUCAGAGCUCCAGAGAUGACUGACUUCUGCAGAAGGUAAAACCUACACCUGAGAGGGAGCAGAUGAGGAAACAGCACAGAAUUACAAUCGCUGCCAUGGAGAAAGUAUUUAAACUAGAGACCGUGAGUGAAAGAGGUCUGACAGAAAGGAAAAAUGAAAUGUAGAUCUCACAUCAGAAAAGAAGAAAUACACAGUAAACAACUUCUUGAGGAUACCGAAAUGUAAUAAGCAAUUUUUAAUAUGGUUUGUUUGUACAUUUUUCAUCUUCUUUUUAUUACAAUUUUGGUUAUGAUUUAGCUUCCAGGCCAUUCCCUCCAUAAAAUCCAGACAAACUGCUUCAUGCUGCUAUUUAUAAUAAAUGACUGGGGGGAAAAAAAAAAGAAAAAAGACUUCAGUGAACAAGUUGGUAUAGUUAAAAAAUAUUUUUUGGUGGAUGAUAUUUGUUUCGCUUGUCACUACUCGCCAUUUCUCAAGGCCCCGAGGAUUUAACACUUUUUCAGAUGGUACUUCUUACCUUUCAGCAGUACAUUUAUUUUCACAGUAGAUACGACUGUUUGCAGGAGUGGGCAUAGAACAGAUACUAUGAACCAAAAUUCUUGAAAAGCAGAAAAUAAAUGAAUCCAAGUGCUCAACAGAAAUGGAAAUUUAACCCCAACCUUUAUAAAUAUGUUCUAUGAUACCAAAAUGAAUUUGCACUUGGGGAUAAGAUUUAUCUCUUUUUUGCCUCCAUUCCCCUGCACCUGAUAACAUAUUUUUUGUGGGACCUAUCUAUCUGCAGAAAUAUUUUCAGACCUUGCCAUUUGCCUUUGAUCCACGUACUGACUUGGAUGAACUGAUGAUGAAUUGGUGGUGAAUCCCAUCCAACCUUCACCUGACUUCCAUGUGCUGCCGUGCUCUUGUCUGUGACCCAGCACUGUCUGUCCUCAGCCACCCUCCACCUCCUGAUGCUCCUCUCCAGCAGUAACAUUCUUCUCAUCUCUGUGUCAUUGUUCCUGUCCUGAGCUUUUGUUCCUUCAGCUUAUUUCCCCCUGCAGCUCUUCUACUCGCCAAAAUCUUUCCUCCCUUCCACCCAGUGACUCCUGAUCUUCCUAUCCUGCCAGUCUCAGCUUCUCUUCCCACCCUUGUGCCUAGUCAGGCCAGGCAGUCCCACAGUUUUUGUCUUGUUCAAAUUCUGUAAGUCCAGCCCUUGUCCCACCCUGCUUAAAACAAAGCUUUGGACGAGGUCAUGUGGUAUGUAUGGAGAUCUUGGAGUUCACCCGGAGCCAUGGAGGAAAUAAUGGAAAGCGAGCUUUUAUAACGGCACUUGUGGAAAAGCAUUUUUAACUAGAGAUGAACUAGUAUUCAUAUGUUUAUAAAUUAUUUUCUAUACAUAUUUUACCGUAUUUUUUUUUACUAACUGUAUUUUUGCUAUCUGGAGUAGUGUCCACUGAUUACACAGAAGUGAAUGUUUUUGAAAGAAUUUGAAAUGCAAAUUGAGGUCGUAU
ensembl:lncRNA